rnacentral:rRNA from 1 species
UGGGGAAUAUUGCGCAAUGGGGGAAACCCUGACGAAGCAACGCCGCGUGGAGGAUGAAGGCCUUCGGGUCGUAAACUCCUGUCGACUGGGACGAAAGUAGUCCGACCCAAUACGUCGGGCUAUCGACUGUACCGGUGGAGGAAGCCACGGCUAACUCUGUGCCAGCAGCCGCGGUAAUACAGAGGUGGCAAGCGUUGUUCGGAAUUACUGGGCGUAAAGGGCGCGUAGGCGGUCGAUUAAGUCCCGUGUGAAAUCCCUCGGCUCAACUGAGGAACUGCACGGGAAACUGGCUGACUUGAGUUCGGGAGAGGGAAGCGGAAUUCCGGGUGUAGCGGUGAAAUGCGUAGAUAUCCGGAGGAACACCGGUGGCGAAGGCGGCCCCCUGGACCCAAACUGACGCUGAGGUACGAAAGCGUGGGUAGCAAACAGGAUUAGAUACCCGCGUAGUCCCUGAGCGGGCUGGCAAGGCGCAU